AGAGUUUGAUCCUGGCUCAGGACGAACGCUGGCGGCGUGCCUAACACAUGCAAGUCGAGCGAAGAACUUCGGUUCUUAGCGGCGGACGGGUGAGUAACACGUGGGUAACCUGCCUCAUAGAGGGGGAUAGCCUCCCGAAAGGGAGAUUAAUACCGCAUAACAUCAUGCUUUCGCAUGGAAGUGUGAUCAAAGGAGCAAUC
rnacentral:rRNA from 1 species